UAGUAUGAAUGCCCCGUAGCCCAUGACACAGGAUUUAACUCCGUCAUAAAAAAGGAUCAGUGUAGUGACGUGAAACUGAAAAUUAUUCCUUCUUCUGGGUUGGGCUGAGCUGAGCUAUCACAGGAGCUGCCCUUCGCAAGCGCAAAGCCACUGACCGCCCGAGCACCUACUUGCCUGCGCGUCCCUUCGUCUCCUAACUUGCCAUUGAGAAGCACAGGCUGCUCCCUGGAAACCGGUUAUGAUCUCAAAUUGGUGAUCACUGAGGACUAAGACAUCAUGAAGUUCCAAGACAAGAAGCUUUGCAAUAACAAAUGAAGCUUUAGGCUCCAUCUGGCCAGACCCUUCUUUCUGACACAUUUUGCUCCUCUUCUCAAUGAUAAGCAGCAAGGUGAUCAAAGCAAGUUUAAAAGCUUAAAUGCCUCAGAAGUAUACUGUCUUCUUGGAUUUCACAAGUCAAAUUCAGUUCAAAUUGUAUUAAGAUCAAUGUUCAAUUAACUUAAUAAAUAUUCUUCUUUUGUAAUUGAAGAAGUAUAAGUCAAACGCUAAUGAAUAUGUUUAAAAUAUUUUUUCUAUUGUGACAUUAUCCAACAUAAUAUUAAAUUCAGUUAAAAAAAAAACCUUACCAAAUGUAUGAACUAAUUUAAACAUUAAAAAUAUAAUAGUUCUUGAUAAGAAAGUUACUUUCUUUAAUUAUGAGGGGUGUGAGUGAGUAUAAUGGGUAGUAAAUGGAAAGUUUUAGUUUAUUUAUUGGAUCGAUUAUCUAUGUGAUAUUUUCCCUCAAAAUGGAAUAUGCUGUGAAUGAAUUGCUGUCUAAUAUUUAUGCUAUAAUGCAAAAGUUGUAAAAAUAAUAGCAAAUAUAUUUUCACCUUAUCAGGCAAAGUAAGCUCAGGGAUACCUCAUACAAUCCGUAUAUGCACCAUCACUUGUUUUGAGUGCUACAAGCUGGAAAUAGGGAUUCCUAAAUGCAAGUUUUUUAUUGUACAUGAUGCUUUAAAAUAAUGCAAGGUUUCAGUUCCCUGUCCCCAGGGCCUAUUCAGGGUGCCAUGUGCUCAUGGUGCACUGCUGGCUGAAGGAGCCCAGUCCUGGGAUGCAUAGUCAUAUUCCAUGGGUGUGCCUGUUCUCCAUCACAUCCUCCGUAGUUGGUGUUCAUGGCAUUUGCUUUCAGGAAGACAGAAUGUCGGUCUUGUGUGCCACCCACAGUGUAUCCCUCCCUUACCACCUAUGUGACUGAGGUUGGCUUCUGUGUUGACCUUUAUAAAACAAAACCCUCAAAUCAAGUUGCUGUAAUUAGAAAAGAAAGAAAGGAAGGAAAAAAAAAGAAAGAAAGGAAGGAAGGAUGGAAGCCAACAAGCAAGCAAACAAGCUGGGUUUGAACAAAUAGGUUACAAAAUUGUGUCUUUUCCUACUACAAAUGAUCAUAACUUAUGAUUUUCUUAUAGAAUUGAUUUUUACAUAACUUAAAAUUAUGCUCUAAAAUCAAAAGUUAAAAAAUACAGAUAAUCCAAAUAAAGACUGUAAAAAUUAAAAAUACAAUCCUAGAGAGAAUAGCUAUGAAAAUUUUGGUGUAUAUUAUUCUA